UCACAGGGUCUCAGGUUUCCUUUGUGUAUUUUCUCUUAAAUUGGGAUUCCAAACUGUAGACCUUUCAGGCCCUACAGAACAUGGAUCUGCCCUGGGGUUCACCAGGCUUAUGUUUCCUCUUUCCCUAAAGGCAACUGUCUUCCAAGGGCGGGGCCCAGUAAACCUUCCGCGUCACCUCCCAUGGUGUGAAGCACACAGACAGCACAAUCGGCAAAUAAAGACUGAACCGAGUUUAAUCGAAGCUGCAGGUACCGGUGCUGCAGCAGAUCAAAGAAGGGUGUGGAAGGCCUGGAGGGAAGAAGUCCAGACAGAGCUUGAGGCCCCGGAAAGACCAGAGGCACCCGCUCCCCACCGCCCGCCCCCGGGAGCCUCCUAAACGUCAGGGGCUGUGGGGUACAUCACUCCCACCUCUGUGAAAGCCUCUCUCCCAGCGCUCAAAAGCCACGAAACAGGUCCCUCACAUAGGCUGAUGAGUGGUGGGCCUGGGACGGUGGUAGGACUCCCUCCUUGACCAGACGUUAGAGGUCUGGUCCUCUGAGCUCUUUCUCACUAGGACUCAUCCCUGGGCCCUUCCUUGGCCUGCUGAAGCCAGUUGUAGCCAAGAGUCCCGCUACGUUGAUUCCCCACCCCUUCACAUCUGAUUACCCUUGACAGCUGAUUAAGUUCCUCACCUGCACCCCUGAUAUCUGAUGACCUUGGCCUGCCUUUAGCAAGGAUCUUCCUGCCUUGAUGUCUCCUCUUAGUAAUUUUCCAUCCACUGACCCCGCCCCUCCCUUGGCUCCUCAGCUAAACAUCCCCACUUCUGUUGUAUCUGGAACUGAACUCAGUUCUAUACUGAAGCCUCU
rnacentral:lncRNA from 1 species